rnacentral:miRNA from 1 species
GGCGGUGGCGGGGGUGG